AACGGUUUAAGUUAAUUAAACUAAUAUCCUUCAAAGUUAUAAAUAAAGAGGUUAUUUUUAAGCGUUA
rnacentral:tRNA from 1 species